AUUGAACGCUGGCGGCGUGCCUAAUACAUGCAAGUCGAACGGAGUGGCGCACGGGUGGGUAAUUUAUAGCUAAUCUGCCCUACACUAGCGGGCAACAGUUGGAAACGACUGCUAAUACUCUAUAGUGUAGGAUGAGGCUAUAUUGUAUCAGCUAGUUGGUGAGGUAAUGGCGCACCAAGGCUAUGACGCAUAACUGGUCUGAGAGGAUGAUCAGUCACACUGGAACGGAGGCACGGGCCAGACUCAUACGGGAGGCAGCAGUAGGGAAUAAGGCUCAAUGGGGGAAACCCUGAAGCAGCAUCGCGGCGUGGAGUAUGACACUUUGCGGAGCGUAAACUCCUUUUGUUAGGGAAGCGGUACCUAACGAAGAAGCACCGGCUAACUCCGUGCCAGCAGCCGCGGUAAUUC
rnacentral:rRNA from 1 species